CCUACGGGGGGCUGCAGUGGGGAAUAUUGGACAAUGGGCGAAAGCCUGAUCCAGCCAUGCCGCGUGUGUGAAGAAGGCCUUCGGGUUGUAAAGCACUUUCAGUGGGGAAGAAAGCCUUGGGGCUAAUACCCUCGAGGAAGGACAUCACCCACAGAAGAAGCACCGGCUAACUCCGUGCCAGCAGCCGCGGUAAUACGGAGGGUGCGAGCGUUAAUCGGAAUUACUGGGCGUAAAGCGCGCGUAGGCGGUCUGAUAAGCCGGUUGUGAAAGCCCCGGGCUCAACCUGGGAACGGCAUCCGGAACUGUCAGGCUAGAGUGCAGGAGAGGAAGGUAGAAUUCCCGGUGUAGCGGUGAAAUGCGUAGAGAUCGGGAGGAAUACCAGUGGCGAAGGCGGCCUUCUGGACUGACACUGACGCUGAGGUGCGAAAGCGUGGGUAGCAAACAGGAUAGAUACCCGAGUAGUC
rnacentral:rRNA from 1 species